AUCAAAGGUUUUAGCGUUCUCUCUCUCUCUCUCUCUCUCUCUAUGUGACCUCCCUCUUCGUCCAUGGAGGCUCUCAAUCCCACAAUACCAAGCAAACCUCAAUUCUUCUCUUCCCUUUCGAUUUUCUCUCCCAAAUAUUCUCUGAGAACAUGGAAAAAGAAAAACCUUUACAGGUUCAAUAUACCCAACUCCAAAAUUCCUCUGUACCCACCAUUUUCCGCCUCAAAACUUCGAAUUUCAGCCCAUUUCGGCCGACCCACGAAUCGCCGAAACUCGCUGAGAAAAAAGCUCAUUGAAGAACAACAACAACAGGUGCGUCAUCGUUCUCAAAACCCAGUUCUUGAUUAUGAUAAUAGUGAGAUUUAUUAUUCGAAUUUGGGUAAUGAUAGUGUAGAAAAAAGUAAGUUUAGUUCUAAUUAUGGGGUUAGUGAAGGUAGUGUUGAUUCUGAUAGUAUAGAGGAAUUGAAAUCAAAAGGUUUGGGUGAAUCUGUAUUGUGGAAUAAAUUGGAGAGUUGGGUUGAUCAGUAUAAGAAUGAUUCAGAGUUUUGGGGAAUUGGGUUUAAUCCUAUAUUCACUGUGUUUCAAGAUUCAGGUGGGAAUGUUGAGAGGGUGGUUGUUAAUGAAGAUGAAAUCUUGCGAAGAAGCGGAAUUGAGAUGGAGAUGUAUAAGAAAAGUGAAAUUGAGGACUUGACAGAAGUGAAUUCAAAGAUUUCUCAUGCUAAAUUUCUGGCUCGAGAGAUGGAGAAUGGGAAUUGUGUGUUUUCGAAGAGUAGUUCGAUAGCUAAGUUCAUAGUUUCGGGCAAGCAUAGGGGUUUUGAUAAUGCAAUUUGGGGUCUUGCUCUUCGACCCGGAUUGUCUUUGAAGCUCCCAAGAAUUGGGAUCAUGGUGUUGUGUGGUUUGUUUGUGUUCUGGGCGAUGAAGGCAAUUUUCAGUGGUGGGAAAGAGAAAGUAGAAUACACGAGGUUGGAGAAGGAAAUUAUGAGGAGAAAGAUGAAAGCAAGAAAGGAGAAAGACAAGUUGGUGACGGGUAGCGUGGAAGUUAUUCAGGAUCCAAUGGAGCCACAGAUUGAAAGGCCAAGGCUUAAUGAGCAGGAUCUUAUGAAUAGCAUUACGAAAGUGAAAGCAUCAAGUAAUAAUACACUGGCACUACAUGAAUCUUCUAGUGAUCGGGCGGUGUCUAAGGAUUUAGAUAGUAAAAUUCAGGAAAUUAGAGCAAUGGCAAGGCAAGCACGAGAGAUUGAGAGAAGAGAUCCUUCACCAAGUGAUACUGAUGGAGGAGAUGAUUUAACUGUGAAUGAGCUGACUGAUGAAAAAGAAGUGGUUAAACAGCAUGGAGUAGUUGUGAUUCUCCCAAAUGAUCUUUCUAUUGAAUAUUCAGGUCAAAUAAGAGGCGUUAAUGGAACCUCAACGCCCAUGUCUUUCAAUGAUGUGGAAAACAAUGAUACUGAAUUCAGUGAGGAAGUUUUGGUAGAGAACAUUGACACCCAAACAUCUAGUACUUCAAGCAUGAAAGUUUCCAAUGAUGGUGAAAGCACUACACGUGAAGGAGUUGUGAGUCUCCCAAAUGGUCUUUCUAAUGAAGAUUCAGACCAAGUAGAAGGUGAUGAUGGAACCUUAACGCCCAAGUUCAAUGAUCUGAAAAACAAUGAUGCUAGAUUCGGUGAGGAAGUUUUGCUGGAGAACAGUGGUACGCAAACGGCUAGUACUUCAAUCAUGAAAGUUUCCAAUGAUGGUGAAAGCACAAUACAAGAUGUGAUCAAUAGAGAAAGUGCUGUAAACAUAUCAGACACAACUAAUGUGAGCCAAUCCUCUAACACAUUUGAAAGUCACUCAAGAAAACUAAAGAGAAGUUUCGGAACAAAACCAAGGGUUAUACGCUCAGUUAAGGAAGCUAGGGAAUUCCUCUCUCAAAAACGUAACAAACAAGAGCCUAAUCAAGAAUAUCAAGAGAAAACCGUGCCAGAAGGUGCUGCAAUUUUAAGUAUUGAAAGGGAAAAAGAUACCAAUAGCAAUGGGAGGAAGGGAAUAGAUAAGGACAAUGAAGUGUCUGGCACGACCAUUUUAGAUGGGACGCCAGAUUUUGCACCUGCAAUAAAUGCUGGUAAAGAUUCUGCCCUGAAGAGAAAGGAAUCUGUUCCGGCUGAAAAAAGUGGUCCUCAAGCUGCUGAUGAAGGAUGCAAGGAAGGGCCGUCUGUUUUAGCGUUAAUCAAGGGAAAAGAGAAAUGGGAUAGUAACACAAGCCUGGGAUUGGACAAGGACAACAAAAUCUUCCAAUCAACCAUUUUACGUGGACCGUCAAAUUCUGCAUCUGCUGCAAGUGCUUUUGGAGAUUCUACUCGAAAAAUAAUGGAUGGUGAUCCUGAAGAUGUUGAGGGAGGAUAUCGAGUGGACGAUCUACAAAAGCCACCAACUUCCUCAGUUAAUGAAAGUAACAGCAGAAGUUCAGAGAAAAUAUCAUCAGUGAAUAAGGAGAGCUGGAUGGAGAAAAAUUUUCACCAAUUGGAGCCUGUAGUGAAGAAGAUUGAAGGUGGAUUUAGAGAUAAUUACAUGGUUGCGAGGGAAAAAGUUAAACAAGAGUUGGAUACAAAUUUCGAGAUGAUACAGUCCAAAUUUGAUGAAGAUGACGCUGAACUUGACUGGAUGAAAGAUGAUAGGCUUAGAGAAAUUGUAUUUCAAGUCCGAGAAAAUGAGUUAGCGGGGCGUGAUCCAUUUUACCUGAUGGAUGAUGAAGAUAAACUCGGGUUCUUCAAGGGCCUUGAGAGAAAAGUUGAGAAAGAGAAUGAAAAACUAUCCAGUUUGCAUGAAUAUCUCCAUUCAAACAUUGAAAACCUUGACUAUGGUGCAGAUGGUAUUAGCAUGUAUGAUCCACCGGAAAAAAUUAUACCCCGCUGGAAAGGUCCCCCACUCGAUAGAAAACCCGAGUUUCUCAAUAACUUUGCUGAACAAAGGGCAACACUUAGUGCUAGAAAUUUUAGUAAUUCAGACAUUGAGAGGAAGGAUGGGCAGAACUUCCCUCAGAAAUCUAAAGAACCUCCAGCCAAUGAAAAUGUUCAGCUGACCUCAGCAGUAAAUAAUCAGAAUACAAAAAUUCUUGAAGGGAAUUCAAGGAGUCCCAAGACAGUUAUAGAAGGCAGCGAUGGUUCUGUUAGAGCCGGCAAAAAAUCAGGAAAAGAGUACUGGCAGCACACUAAGAAAUGGUCUCGUGGGUUUUUGGAAUCUUAUAAUGCAGAGGCGGACCCAGAAACUAAAGCUAUCAUGAAGGAUAUUGGGAAGGAUUUGGAUCGAUGGAUCACUGAGAAGGAAAUAGAGGAAGCAGCUGAUCUGAUGGAUAAAAUAUCUGAGAGAGGACGGAAAUUCAUUGACAAGAAACUUAACAAGGUCAAAAGAGAAAUGGAACUGUUUGGACCACAAGCUGUCAUGAGCAAAUACCGGGAAUAUGCUGAAGAGAAGGAAGAAGAUUAUUUGUGGUGGCUAGAUCUUCCCUUUGUACUGUGUAUCGAAUUAUACACACAUGAAAAUGGGGAACAAAAAGUAGGAUUUUAUUCAUUAGAGAUGGCAGAAGAUCUUGAAUUGGAUCCAAAGCAGUAUCAUGUGAUUGCUUUUGAGGACCCUGGUGAUUGCAAGAACCUUUGCUAUAUUAUGCAGGCUCAUAUGGAGAUGAUUGGAAAUGGCAAUGCAUUUGUUGUUGCGCGACCACCUAAGGAUGCUUUUCGGGAAGCCAAAGCAAAUGGACUUAGUGUGACAGUCAUCAGGAAAGGAGUGCUGCAGUUGAAUGUGGACCAAACACUGGAAGAAGUUGAGGAACAGAUUACUGAGAUUGGGACAAAGAUAUACCAUGAUAAAAUCAUGCGUGAACAGUCUGUGGAUAUAAGUGCAUUAACGAAAGGUGUAUUUGGUGCCAUGAAACCCAGUAAAAGGAGAAGGUCAAGGCGGAAACUGAAAAAGCAUACGAAGUAAAGGUUAGAGUCAUUAAUUAACUUCUAUCACAGCUCAAGAAAAGCUUCACCAAAGAGGCUCAGUAUCGUGAAUGACUGGAAUGGAUAUCUCUACAUUGUAAAUGAGCCAGUUCUCCCUACAGGUGAUGCUUGCUUCCCAUACUCCAGACAAGAAGGAACAAAAGCUAGUCAUCCAAAGAUCUUCAUAGAAAACCUUGACGGACUCCCUGUUUGCACUUCUAAGUUGAAGUCGAGCACGUUUUCUUGAUCUCAUGGCAGGAUGCAGAGGUGGCAGUCCCGACUCUUGAGCCAAACCAUCAUCCAAGCUCUCUUCAGCUCUAGCCUGUUCUGUUAUUUCUGGUACCGGGUUCUGCCAAUACCGUGCAUACGAUGUUGAUCAAACUAAAUCAUGUGGAUCUCUAAGCUCGACAUUGGAACAUCUUCUGUAAUUUCAAAAUAUUUUCAGUCUGUGUACCAAUCCCUACUGCCCUUAAAAAAUUUAUUUCUGCUCGUUCUCUCCCAUGUAUGGAUGCUAAGAGGCGGGUUUUGAUUAAUGGGUUGAUCAAACCAUAAAUUUUAUUGCA